AGUGAACGCUGGCGGUAGGCCUAACACAUGCAAGUCGAACGGCAGCACAGAGGAGCUUGCUCCUUGGGUGGCGAGUGGCGGACGGGUGAGGAAUACAUCGGAAUCUACUCUGUCGUGGGGGAUAACGUAGGGAAACUUACGCUAAUACCGCAUACGACCUACGGGUGAAAGCGGGGGAUCGCAAGACCUCGCGCGAUUGGAGCGGCCGAUAUCAGAUUAGGUAGUUGGUGAGGUAAAGGCUCACCAAGCCGACGAUCUGUAGCUGGUCUGAGAGGACGACCAGCCACACUGGGACUGAGACACGGCCCAGACUCCUACGGGAGGCAGCAGUGGGGAAUUUUGGACAAUGGGCGCAAGCCUGAUCCAGCCAUGCCGCGUGCGGGAAGAAGGCCUUCGGGUUGUAAACCGCUUUUGUCAGGGAAGAAAAGGUUCUGGCUAAUACCUGGGACUCAUGACGGUACCUGAAGAAUAAGCACCGGCUAACUACGUGC
rnacentral:rRNA from 1 species